rnacentral:rRNA from 1 species
AGCGAACGCUGGCGGCAGGCCUAACACAUGCAAGUCGAACGGAUCCUUCGGGAUUAGUGGCGGACGGGUGAGUAACACGUGGGAACGUGCCCUUUGGUUCGGAACAACUCAGGGAAACUUGAGCUAAUACCGGAUGUGCCCUUCGGGGGAAAGAUUUAUCGCCAUUGGAGCGGACCGCGUAUGAUUAGCUAGUUGGUGAGGUAAAGGCUCACCAAGGCUACGAUCAGUAGCUGGUCUGAGAGGAUGAUCAGCUACAUUGGGACUGAGACACCGCCCAAACUCCUACGGGAGGCAGCAGUGGGGAAUCUUGCGCAAUGGGCGAAAGCCUGACGCAGCCAUGCCGCGUGAAUGAUGAAGGUCUUAGGAUUGUAAAAUUCUUUCACCGGGGACGAUAAUGACGGUACCCGGAGAAGAAGCCCCGGCUAACUUCGUGCCAGCCGCCGCGGUAAAAC